CACCGCGGUUAUACGAGUGGCCCAAGUUGAACGUCGCCGGCGUAAAGAGUGGUUAGGGGGAAUAAUAAACUAAAGCCGAACACCCUCCAGGCCGUUAUACGCUUCCGAGGACACGAAGCCCCACCACGAAAGUGGCUUUAACUCACCUGAACCCACGACAGCCAGGGUA
rnacentral:rRNA from 1 species